rnacentral:rRNA from 1 species
AUUGAACGCUGGCGGCAUGCCUUACACAUGCAAGUCGAACGGCAGCACGGGAGCAAUCCUGGUGGCGAGUGGCGAACGGGUGAGUAAUAUAUCGGAACGUGCCCAGUAGUGGGGGGAUAGCCCGGCGAAAGCCGGAUUAAUACCGCAUGAGACCUGAGGGUGAAAGCGGGGGAUCGCAAGACCUCGCGCUAUUGGAGCGGCCGAUAUCAGAUUAGCUAGUUGGUGGGGUAAAGGCCUACCAAGGCAACGAUCUGUAGUUGGUCUGAGAGGACGACCAGCCACACUGGGACUGAGACACGGCCCAGACUCCUACGGAGGCAGCAGUGGGGAAUUUUGGACAAUGGGCGCAAGCCUGAUCCAGCAAUGCCGCGUGCAGGAAG